GUCUGAAAGUUUUCAGAGAUGAGACAUUUGCGUUUCUCAGCUCCCAUGGCUUCUCGCCUGAAACUGUUUCCCUCCGUAGGAGAUUUGAGUAACCGAUCCCUUGACAAACAACUUAAGACAGCUGGAGCUCUAAUCAUCAAGAAUUUUUAUGGUGCUGCUUUUGAAGUAAAAAUAAAGUGAAACCCCUUAUGGCAUUUCAAGUGGAAAAAUAAAUAAGGUUGGCCGUCCACGUAGGGGGCUCCGGGCGAUGGCUGGAAGUGCGGGAGUGGCGUGGUUCUGUGCCGUCAAUGUGCACGUGCUCCCAUGGCCGUGACCUUUGAGACAAAGCUGGGUGGCUUGCCAGGGCCCUGUGCUGGGUGUCCACCUCUCCAUCUCUUCUUCUAGAAAACAUAACAGGAACACUGCCUGUCCAAGGCACAGGGCUGUUGUCAGAGUUUAUUGUUGUAAAAGGGCUUGGGUUGUUUCAUAAAAGGUCAUCUGUUAUACCUAGAUUGGUAAUUUAUUGCUAUGAAGUUUUGUGUAGUUUUCUCCUGCCCUUUGCAAUCUCCGCAUCGUCAGUGUAUCCCUUUUUUCAUUCCCACCAUCGCCUAUCAGUGCUUUUCCUUUUCUUCGUCAAAACUUGCCAAAGGUUUGUUCAUUUUGAAGGUGUUUUCAGAGAACCAAGCUUACUGAUUAUGUCUGCUGGGUAUUUUCCCUAUCUGAUGCUUUUGUGUUUUUACCUCUGCAUUCUUUUGUUUCCUGCGUUUCUGGAUGUAUUUUGUGGUUCAGCAAAGUCUUGACAAGUUGAGGAGUGUUACACGUGGAAAGGAUGGUUUGUUCAGCAAACAUUGAGCCCCUGUACUGGGCUUGCUGGGGAUUUCAGGGGCAAGACCCAGGCCUGACUCUCCAGGAGCGCAUGACUCUAGCCUAGUGGGAAGACUUAAGAAAAUAGACAACUGCAAAUUCCAAAAACAAAACAAACAAACAAGGCUUUUGUGGCCACGCUCUCCUGUGGAGGCACCUGGAUGAUAAAUGAAGCCAAGAUUAUUGCUUACUUUGCUCUCCCUCAGAAAGCAGCUUUAUGUCAUAGGUCAAGCUCACUAAAGAGUCACAAACAGGCCUCCCUCUGAAAGAUUUGUGGCCCUUUGCAGCAGGGAGCCUGCAGCCCACCCUUUCCAAGGUGAUGCCACAUCAGCGUUCUGUCUGCCCAGCACUGCUCUCCACCUGCCAAGGCAGCACCAGCAGCACCCUGCCCCCUCUGCCUGAAAUGCCUUUCAGGAAAAUGAGAAGUGGAUACCUCUUCUGGAAAAGAGCAGGGUACCAGGUCUUAGAAAACCACACCCUGCAAUUCUGCCAGUCGCCGUGGCUCCUAGUGUUGCUCGUGUGGUACCUGGUAACCACAAGAUCCCAUGAGGCCUAGGUCUGGGCUUCUUUAGGAACUGGUCUGUGCCCUGCUCUGUGCCUCAGUUUCCUUGUAGGUAAGAUGUGGGCUUUGGAGCAAACACAGUCUUCCUACCCCUAAUAUACUGGGAAUCCUUUCUCCGAGGAUCUUCGGGUCCUCCUGGAUGCAUUUGAGGGAAGGUGAUUGAGCUCUGGGAAGGUGGCACUGCCCUUGCAGGGCAGCCUGCAUAUGCCUUAUGCUUUAAUGAUUGUACCACAUGCGCCUAGAUAUGCCUCUGUCAGGAAGCCUUCCUGGACUCUUCCCUCUCCCUAGAGAUCCAGUUGCCUAGAUGACUUCACGCAGCCCUCUGUUGAGUGCUAGUGGUCAUGCAGACUUUCUCUUUCGCAGUGAUUGGGCUCCCCUGACCUCCCUAGGGGGCUUGCAUUGUUAUUUAAUCUGAGGUACUUGUCAGAAUCCUGUACAGGACCAGGCCUUGGGGUCACACAGUGGACAGGGUGGACCAUCUCUGCCAUCAGGGAGUCAUCCAAGCUAAUGGGAAAGGGGAUGACCUUGGGCAGAAAAUCCCACAGAUAGAUAUAAUAUGGACUGUGGCAGGUGCCCUAAGAGCAGUCUAGGGGGCACCUGGUGUGGGCUGGGGAGGAUUGAUGUUCAGGCUGAGACCUGAGGACAAGUGUAAAUGUUGGAGCAGUGAAAUAACAAAUGAGAUGUUAUUUCUCACCAUCUAAUCAAGCAUCUCUGCUUACAGCUGAAGAGACUGGACUGAAAGCAAAAUGAAGGACCACCAGUAUCUGGCUGCCCUGGAGGGCUGUAUUGGGAGAUAGUAAGGGGGGUUGAAGGUUCACGUGUUGGUUGGCGGUCCCCCAAACCCAGUCCUGAGUGAGAAGUCUUCAGUUUCCAACUGACUGGAACCAUCACAGACAAGGAUCUGAUGGGAGUAGGGGGUGACCCAAUCAGAACAGCAUUUAAUUUAAGGUGGGAUUUUUUUCAGUAGGGAACAGGAUAGCAUUUGAGCAGUAACAGCAGCAGGACUGUCAAGAAGGUCACUGCCCUGUCUAGAUCAUUGGGAAUGGGGAGGAGUAGAUCCAAGGAGCCAUGGUGGGUGAGGAAGGGAAGGCAGGAGAAAGAGCAGGCUGGGGAGGGAGGACAGAGAAAGAUGAGAGACUCCCAUUGAAUAGCUGCAGGAAGUGAGGUCAGGGAGGGGGCAUCCCUUGUGUUCAGUUGGCUGCGGGAGCCAGAACCCAGUCUCCUGGCAUCUAUUGCAAAGCUCACCCCUCAUCCCCCAGCCCCCUAAAGGGAGAAAGGGUCACUGCUCUGAAAAGAGGGAGGAACUAAGCAGUGCUGUCCUCAGCAAGCCAGGGAAGGUGAUCCUGACUAAAAGCCAGAAGAGGGGCAGAGUUUGGUCUGCCAGGCUUCAGGGAGAGAAUUCCAUAUCGCGAGAAAAACUUUGAUUAGAGCGGGCUCAAGAUGAAGGGGAGGAGCUGGCCGAGCAGCAGCUGGAGGCUUCAGACAGAAGCCCUGGGUCUCCUUCUCCGGCUCAGUGGGCCGGGACUUGGGGAACACUUUAGGACCGACAAACCUUGAGCGACAAGGUUUCAGGGAGCCCGGGCCCUAUGCCCCCACCUCUUUGACCACACGUCCCUGAGCCUCAGUUUCCUCACUGGCAAAAUAGAGAUGGUAACACCCCCUGUAGCCUGGCUCAAGGCCAAGUCUUCACAAAUGUUACUGCCUCUCUUCUGUGCCCUACCACCCUCCACCGACCCUUACUGGGCUCAGGCUUCAUAGGGAUGUGGUAUGAUCGUCCAGCUCUCCCGCUCAUUCAUUCCUGCAGGGAGCAUUGCCAGGCCCUGCGCCCAGCCCAGAACCUGAUAAGACCAUGCCCUCCGUGAGGAGCUCCUGCGGCAGCAGCGGGGAGGGCAUCGAGGCAGUCCUGCAGGCGCAUGAUCACUGUGCUGUGUCAUUGGGGCUGUGUGGAGUUAGGGAGAGACCUCAUUUGCGAGGCCGGAUGUCAGCACCUCAACAUGAAUUCCCUUAAUUAUUUUUUACAAGCCCCGAAAUGACAAGAUCCUAAAAGGGAGAGGAACACCUAGACGGUGCUCUUUCCUGAGAGGCCAGAACCCUGGCUUUGCAUCCCUGCUUGGCCACCAGCUCGCCUAGGACCGUCCAUGGAUUUUUCCCUCUUGGAAAGAAAUCACUGCCCAUUCGGCCUCCUCCUCAUGAGGAACUGGUGCGGGGAUGUUUGAGAGUGCCCUGUCAGAUACGGGGUAAGCACGAACCUUCUCCACAGACUAACCCUUUGAGCGGUUCUGGCCUCUCACCUCUUUUCCUGGACAACCUGUGGAGAGUCUACAGGGGGAUGCCUCACUGCUUCUUCCGAAGCUAAACUCUGCCGAUCCCCGCCCCACACUGCUAGUGGCCGCCCUCUAGGGCUGGGCGGGGAGCUGAGCCCUGGGCCUGAUCCCCACCCCCUUGCCACGUGACCUUGCUCUCCUCUGCUCAUUCUUCUCCAGGCACCGCCCCCCAACGCCCAUCUGUUCACCUAGGAGGGGUUGGCCCAGGAAAUCUUUCACCUUUCGAAAGCCAUCUUCUGUGAAAUAUCAGUGAACUUUAUCCUUGUUACUUCAGUCUUAAAGGUAUUGGUUGAAAGAAAGUACGUUAAGACAAGCAAGCAUUUAAUCAAAGGGUUUUUUGCAUUAAAGAAUAAACUUUACAUCUCUGGGGUGCAGAAGUGUCAAGAAUCUUAGAGUCAAAGCAGACUUGGGAGGGUCUCUGAGGGAGGAAGACAAACAUAACCCUUCCUUGGUUCCCUGUUGCUUGUGGUCCUGACUCAGCUUGGCUGUCAAAGCCCUGAACCACCCUUGAGGGUGGGGGCUUGAUCUUUGUCCCUUGACCAGGCACAGCACCUGUCUGACCAGGCCUGGAUAGAACCUGCUGGUUGGCUGGCCAGGGCCGUGGAUGGCUGGAAGGCUCAGUCAAUCUCCAGACCCCCUAAGGAGCUGAGUGGCCCUCACUCUCCUAGAAGUGCGGGAAUUCAAUGUGCCUCCCAAGGCUCCUCUUGGCAACUCUGAAGUGGCAGUAUUUUCCAGCCUCUAGGGUCAUAUUUUACACACAGAUAUCACAGACACUAAUAUGUCACAAAAGAUACGUGAGAAGAACCUUGUAAAAGGCUCUAUAGCCUGGUAUCCUUCCUGUGGCAACAGGUGGCUGUGAAUCACCUCCCCUCCCUGGGCCUCAGUUUCCCCAUGUGUAAAAUGAAGCAGUUGGACUAGAUAAUCCUUGAGUUCCUUUCUAGCUCUAGCAUCACCCUCAGAUGCCCUGGUACCCAGAACAGUAAUUGGACAAGGGGCAUGGUGACCCCAGGAUCUGGGUCAGUCCACAUCUUGGAGCAUGGCGGAACCGAUGGUUGCAGCCCCCUGGAAGCUGAACGUGGCAGGAACUGGCUGAGAGAUUUUUUUGCUGAUGGUGAAAUGUCCUGGCAGAGUCUAUGCAGGUAGGUUGAUACAGGUGAGGGGAGGGGUUGGGCUGUCCCUCCCUUGUGGUCCCCAAGUAACAUAUCCUUGCAGAGUCAGAAGCUUCCAGGACUGUUUGCUGGGUGCCAGCUAGAUUCAGCCACUCAUAUUGGCAAAGUGGGUGAACCGUCUUUCCGCACACUGUCCUGGCAGGGCUUGCAGAAAGACUUUCUGCUGCCACCCUUAAAUGCUUCCCUGCAAUUCAUCGUUAUUGUGUCUAGAAUCAUACCUUCCUAUAGCCUUUUGGUUCCCUGUCCAGGUGGCAUAUUCUCUGAGGAUGUUGUGGUCCUGAUGCCAUAAUCAGCCAGGAAUAACUUAGCUCAGUGUCAGAGCCACAAGGGGAAGACUUGUCCAAAGUUGGAACUCUGACUAUUGAAAGAAAAAUAAUAAUCCAUUUUCAACCUCACCUCAGAGCACACCCCCAAAUUCAAAAACUUUUGAUCAGAAAGGAGACAUAAACCCAUUAAAAACCAGAGAGAAAAAAAAAAAAGAGAGAAAAGGAAUUGGAUAUUUAAAGUGUCUGAAAGGGGGAGCCCCUCUAAGCUAAAAAGCAACAAAAUGCAAGAAGGCAAAGACCGACCAAUUUGAAUACAUCAAAACUAAGUAUUUCCAAAGUCAAACAAUAUCACAAGCAGAACCAAAAGGCAGAGUGGGUAAACUGUUUGCAGAUCCAUACUGUGUAAAAGAUCACACGCAAAAGCUUAACAGUGAAAAUGCAACAGAUAGGUAUGUAAUUCAUGUAAACAGCUCACAGAAGAGGAAAUAGAACUGACAAAAUUUUUUGAAAAAAUACUCAAUUUCACUAAUAACAGAAGAUCAAAGAUAAAAAACAAAAAAGAAGCACUAGUUUUCACCAACAAAUUAGGGGAAAAAUGUUUAAGAAUACUCAAUGCUGGGCUUCCCUAGUGGCGCAGUGGUUGAGAGUCUGCCUGCCGAUGCAGGGGACACGGGUUCGUGCCCCGGUCUGGGAAGAUCCCACAUGCCGCGGAGCGGCUGGGCCCGUGAGCCAUGGCCGCUGAGCCUGCGCUUCCGGAGCCUGUGCUCCGCAACGGGAGAGGCCACAACAGUGAGAGGCCCGCGUACCGCAAAAAAAAAAAAAAAAAAAAAGAAUACUCAAUGCUGAUGAGGAUACAGUGGAAGAGGCACUAAGUGCGAAGGGGAGUGUGAAUUGGUGUAAGUUUUUGGAAAGUAAUAUGAUAGUCAAAGAGAGGAGAGAGAUGAAAGUUUCAAGAAAGGGCAAAUGGCCUAUAUAUUUAUACAUUUAUUGAGUGUCUACUUUGUGUCAGGCAUGGUGCUGGGUGUUAAAAUGUGAAGAUAAGAUAUAUUGUCUGCUCUUGGGCACACAGUCAAAGAGGUAGAAAAACACAGAUUCUAAAAUGAUAUGUAGUAAGAAGGCCAGAGCUAUGCUUGGGACACAUGCAAAGCAUGGAGCAGCUGGGGUGGGUGGUACAAGUGUGAAGCUUUAUGGGAGUAUCCAGGGAGGUUCCUAGAAGAGGUGCCUGGAUGAGUAGGAGUUAUUCAGGUAGAGGACAGAGACAGAAGUGAGAGGCAUCAUGGAUGAACUCAUAGACAGGGUUGCCAAAGUGUGAAAUAAGAGGCAGGGGAUGGAGAAGGCGGGACCGGAUCACCUAGUGCCAUGACUGUCUAAUUGAAGAGUUUGGUCUUUUUCCUCUUGACAACAGGGAGUCACUGAAGCAUUUUGAGUGGGCACGUGCCAUGGUAAGAUUUCUGUUUUAAGAUGAUGACUCUGGUUACUUGGAGACAUUUGGAGGUGUGAGAACCAGUGAGGAGAUGAUUGCUUUGGUCCAGGUAGAGAGGGCAAGGCCUGAAUUAGGGUGGGGGCCAAGAGGAUGAAGAGAAGGUAAAGUUAGGAGAAGCUGCUGACUGACUGUUGCUGGGGUCAAAGAAAGAGAGUCAAGGAUGCCUCCCCUGUUUGUGUCUUGGGCGGAUAGGAGAAUACCCAGGAGAAAGAGCAGGCUUGGGGGGGCUAGAAGAGGAUCGUUGAGCUCCAUUUUGGACAAGUUGAAUGAAAGGUGGGCAUCCAGGUGGAGACGGCCUGUGAGGAGCUAGGAGAGAGCUUGGAUCCCAGCAGAGAUUUGAAUGAAAGAUUUGGGUUGUGACUGAUGGCAGUUGUAGCCAUGGACUUUUGUGAGCUGCCCUAGGAGAAUGGCAGCUGAGAAGAGAAAGGGGGUCUAAGACAGAGAACCUCUCCCCCAUUUAAGGGUGGGCAGAGAGAAAGAAAAGCUCACAAAGGCAAAAGAGAAAGCAGAAAGAUAUGGAAAAAGCACCUGGAGCCUGUGUUGGCAUGGAAACACAGGGAUGUGGAGCGUUUCCAAGAGAGAAUAAUCAGCCGACAAAAGAGAAAAGCCAGUUAAGUAAGGACUGAGGGCCUGGCUGGAGCAAUUAGGGGCCCCUAGAUCCUCACAGGGGCAGUUCCUGUGAGAGGUGGGUCAGAAGCCCCCACAAGGUGGGCAAAGGAAAGUGAAAGGGGGAGGCAAAGCAGGCAGCAUGGCACCUGUCCUGGGGAGUUCGGAAUAUGGGGGAGAAGCUGCUAGGGCUAUGAUUUGAGUCAGGACGAAAUUCUGGGCUGGGCUGAGAGGAAAGAAGGAUAGACAUGAUGGAAAAGAGGUUGAAAGGGCUGUCACCUAAAGUCCUCUUGUCUGUAUAAAUCAGAGGCAAGAUCAAAGGGCAUGGGUGGUAAGGAGGAAUAAUGGCUAUUGGUGACCUUGACUAGAGCUGUUGUCAAGUAAGAAAGUCUACAUGCCAGUUUGGAGCUCACAGAGGAAGUGUGGACAUCUCCCUAGCGGGUAGAUGGAGAACUAGGAGAAGGUGCAGAGUUCAUGGAGCAGGGCCAGACUCAGCUGUGACUGACACUUCAGGGAUGGAUGCAGGAAGAGGAUGCUGCUGCGGAGACUGAGAAGCAGUGGCCGGAGGAGAGGACCGAAAAAGUGGGGGCCCUAGAAGCCCAGGGAGGAGAGCGUUUCCAGAGGUCAGGGUGGCCAUUUAUGUGCCAGAUGCACAGAAGUCAGGGGAGGUGAGAGCAUCCCGUGGACCUGGUCUUUGGGGACCCCUGCCAUAGCAACUCUGGGGGAGGGGGAGAAGCCCAACUGGGUGGGGGUGAUCUGGAGACUGGCUGAGAAAGCAGGAGGGAAAAGGGAGACCUGAGAGGACAGAAGUUUCUAGAAGGUGCUGUUUCUUACACACUGACAUUUGGAGGGAGGAGGGCUAUGCGAGGACAGAAGAGCAGGGACAGGUAAUGAACGGGGCCCCGGGAGCAGUGGGAUUAAGUGUAUAGGUGAAGGGAUUAGUUGUGUUCGUGGAAAGGGGAAAAAUUAAAUCAUGUACAUUUUACCAAGUAACCUGAUCUCUGUGUUUUUCUGGAGGUGGUUUUUAUGCCCUCCCAGUACUGACUACAGCUCUAAUUAGCAGUAGUUUCAUCCUGCCUGAUGUCUGGGGCUGUGUCUUAUUCAUUUUUGUACCUUUCGGUACCUAGCAACAGGCAGCGAGCUAGGUAGAGACAGAAUAAUUGUUUUCUGCUUGAAAUCAAAUGUCUGAAAUGGAGGUUCAGAAUUUUUUAAACCACAAAGAUUUUGUGACAAAUACCAAGGAAUUAACAGACAGGGAAAUAAGAGUCAAGCUGUCUGUAUGUGAGGCUGUCUGGGUCUCAGGAAAUGCACUCUGCGCUCUGGUGCGGGCACAGCUCUUUAUAGUUUUUAUGGUGAGGUUGUGACCAUUGUCUCAUCUGGUCAUGGCAAACCCACUUUCCUUCCCCUAGUGAGGCAGACAGCUACCGUUAGUCCCAUUUCACAGGUUAGGAAGCUGAGGCCCAGAGAGGCAGGAUAGAGGGAAGGAAUGAUGGGCAUUGAAGUCGGUGGGGAUAGGGCACAAUCUUGAAUGCUUCAUUCAGGGUCUUCACCACCACUACCUGGUGGUAUCUCCUAGACAUUGAGGAAUUCUAUUUCUUCCAAAGUCAAGAGGAAGCCUUGGUCUAACUGGCGGAGCUCGGGCCUCAUUCCAUCCUCUGACAGGACUCGGGUGGUGAGAGGCAAGACCUGAAGGAGAGGCCUCUGUGGCUUCUGUGUGAGAGAGCAUCCCAUGUCCCACCACAGCCACGUAAAAUAGGGAACAGGAAAUCUCCCUAAACAAGCGUUGUUAGGGUGGAAUAAGGGAUGCUAGAAAGCCCAACGCCACCGCCCCCCCCAGACAUCCAUUAUAGGAAGUAACCAGGCAGAGGCAGGGAGACCUGUUAGGAGGCCAGGGUCCAGAUAAGAGAGGGAGAGGCCUGAACUAGACCAGUGGAUACGGAAAUAGAUCCAAAACUUGGAGAUAAGAACCAGAAAUGAUGGAUCAUUAGCUAUUAGGGGGAGAGAGAGGGUGAAGACAAAGACUCCCAUGUGUCUCUGGGGUCUUGACGGUGGAGAGACCUCUGGGAAGGGGACCACAGCAUGGGGAGCCAAUGUGAGGGGCAAGACAGUGGUCUCAGAUACAGCCAAGGGGUCAGGGUCAUAGCCAAGUGGAGCCCAGCAGGCACUUGGAUCAAGGGUCUGGGGCUCAGGAAGAGAUUCUACUGGAAGUACUGGCCCAGGGCCAUGACCGCUCGAGUAAUGGGAACCCGGAGAAUGAGUGAGAUCACCAGAGAAUGGGGCAGGGCCCAGGGCAGAAUCAUGAGUUACAGUGACAUUUGAAGAACCAAUCAAGGUGUGGGUAGGCGACAAAGGAGAAAGAAAAGGAAAGGCCUGAGACGCGCGGCAACCAACCAGAAGAGUGGGUUGCCAUGGAAACCAAGGUAGUGAAGAGUUUCAAGGAGAAAGUAAUCAACACUGUCAAAUGCAGCAGAGAAUUCCAGUAAGAUAAAGACAGGAUUUUUUUUCUUUAGAUUUGAUGAUGAGUAAGCUUUUGAUGACCUUAAUAAGAGCAUUUUGGAAGAGUGAUGGGGCAUAAGCUUAAAUAAUGUUGAGAUAUGAGGGAGAGGUGAAUCUGUCGCCAAGAGUCCUUUGAGGAAUCUGGAAAGAAGACUUGGAGAUGUGAAGGACAGGGGUGGGAAAGUUGAGCGUAGGAAAGGCAGGAGCAAGUUCAUAGGCAGAUGUCAACGCUCAAAUGUGACGUGUUGUUUAGUGACGACAAAAGUUUAUUCAUUCUACAUAUUCUAGUUUAUCACCUAUUUUGUGCCUGGCAUUGUGCCUAGCACUGUGGAUUCUGUGGUGAAUGAGUUAAAAUAGGCAGAUUUCCUGUUCUCAUGGAGCUUGUAUGGUAGUAGGGGAGAAAGACGUGAAUCAGAUAAUCACACACAUAAAUGUAUAACUUUUGACAGGCACUCCAAAAGAAAGGUGCCAAGUGCUGGAGGGUGCACAACAAGGGGACCUGCCCUAGGCCAACUCCAGGAGGCUUCCCUGAGGAGGUGACACUUGAACCAAGUUAAGGAGACAGAGUUAACUGGACAGAACAAAUUGGAGAAGAGCGUUCGGGGCAGAGGGAACAGUGUGUGCAAAGCAAGGUGCUGUGAGGCCAGAGAGGCAGGCAGUGCUGGCUGGGCAGAGCUUUAGAGGCCAGGGCUGAGCUCCUGUGUCCAUCAUGAGAGUGAGGGACACGUGCCUGAGGCCUGCCCUAGUAUCUCCUGUGAUCUGAGACUCUGGCUGGUCCAUGGAGAAGUCAUUAGAGGAAUCACUUAGGGAGACCAGGUAGGAAGCUUCUGUCUGGACACAACACAUUCUGGUCAGUCUUGGUGCUGGAUGGAUUGAAGAGGGAGAGGGAGAGGGGGAGGUAUUCCAGAAGUCCCCUGAGUUUCUGGCUUGCCUUACUGGUGCGUGGCAGUGCUUUUCUACAAAGAAACUAGGCCUGUGAGGCAGACCCCAAGUCUGGUGGUAGACAGCUGAGGCACCCAAGCUGGGACAUGGGGAGGAGGUGGCUGAAUGCAUGGACCUGGAACACAGAGUGAGACCGGUUCAGAACUCCUGAGGGGUCCUGAGUGGAAAUGUAAAUUGAAGUGGUAUCAGGUUUCUGGAGCAUUCUGAGGGGAUGAGGGAGGCUGAGGAAGAAGAGGCCAGGCACCAACGACUGGGGCCUGUAAAAGGACAGAACGACCCUCCUAAGGUACAGAAAAGAAAGGGCCAGAGAGGUCUUUCCCCAGAAAGAUGGAGUGGUCAUCAGUGGGUAUGUGCAGAAAGGUCAGGGGUCAAGGGCACAUCCACAAGCCCCUCCGAUGUGCAACUGCACAAUCACCAUAGUGCCCCUGGAAUUGGGCAGCCUGGGGUCCCUGCUGAUUGCCACCCCCAGGGCCCAUGGGAGACCUCUGGGGACCUUAACGGAGGCAGCUUUUGCCGGGGGGGGGGAUGAUUAAGGAGAGGAAGGAGAGAGGCAGCAAAGUCUAGGCCCUUUAAAUUAAAUUUUAGUCUUCAAGGAAAGAGCAGUGCUGGCAUAUGAAUAUUCUGAGGGAAGGGAGCCUGAGUAAUGGAGUGAUUAAGGAUGGAGACAAUUAGUGAAAUGAGUUCCCACGGGGGUUGGGUUCAAGUGUGGUGAUGGAUAAAUUAGUUUGGGGCAAUAAUGUGUAUUUGAAUGGGGCAAAAUUUAAUUAUUUACCUUUUAGAGGGUAACUUGAUCUCCAUGUUCUUUUGGGAGCUUUUAUCUGACCUGUGUACCAACUACAGCUCUAAUUAGCACCAUUUUUAUCCUGUCUCAUGGCUGGGAUCCUGUCUUCUUAUUUUUUGUGUUUCUCAGCACCUAGCAACAGGCAGUAAGCUCUUUGGGUGCUGAAUCAAUAUUAUCUGCCUUGGAAUGAAAAAUCUGAAGUCAACAUUCACACUUUUUGACCAGAAAGAAUCUGUGACGAUUCUCCGGAAUUAUGAUGCAGGAGAGAACUGGGGUAUUAAGUCAUGGUGGCAGGGGUUUGCAUGGGUGGGUAGGUGGAGAAAAAGUAAAGAAGUCGGCUCUCCUCGUCCUUAUAAGCUCUGUGCCAUUUAUGCAUGUUCACAUUCAUCAUCUCAUGUGAACUUCACCUUCCCCCACAAGCAACAGAGCAUCACCCUACAUCACAGAGGAGGGAACAGAAACUGGAGAAGCAAGUGCCUUUCUGACAUAGAGCACAAGUAGCAGGAGCUGGAUUCAACCUCAGUCCAUCCAGGAUCACAGUCCUUCUUCCCAGGACCAGGUUGAGCUGAGAGGAAGAAGAAGAGGGGUCUGUGAGGUCCAGGUGGAGACGCUCCGCAGGCACGUGCGGAAGGUUGGAGACAUGAUGUGUACAAGCUGGAGGUGUUGCUCUCAGCUUAGUGCGCCCUGUGGGACUCCUGGUGUAGCCGACGUGCUCUGCCGCAGUGUUCCUUGCAGCUGGCGACUGGCGGCCUUAGGAUUACACCAUGUUUGAUUUUCUUGUUUCCUAUUGAUUGACUAUUAAAAUGUUUCCAGUGUCGUUCCAUUAAGACAAACCUGUAAGAGCAUCUUAUAAUUGUUCAUUUUGCACAUGUACAAGUAUUUCUCUGGGAUAGAUACUUAGAAAUGGAACUGAUGGGUCAUAAGGUAUUCAUAUCUUAAAUUCUAAUAGAAAUUUCUGAAGUGUUCUCCAAAUUGCCUUCUAAUGUAAUCUCCUGCUAGCAGCGUGUGUGUGUCCAUUUCCCCAGACCACGUCCAAGUUUUCCAUUUUUAACCAGUCUGAUGAGUGAGAAAUAGUAUCUUGCUUUAGUUGGCAUUUUUCUGAAUUACCUGCAAGACUGAAGUCUUCAUGUGUUUACUGUCCAUUUUCAUUUCCUCCUCUGGAUUGCUUGUGCAUAUCCUUUGCCUGUUUCUUUUUUUUUUUUAAGGGUUUUUUUGUCUUUUUGCUAUUGAUUUUUAAGAGUUUUUUAUUUGAAUAUUAAUACUUUGUCAUGUAUAUUGCAGAUGUUUUCUACAUUGUGAUUUGUGUCAUUUAAUUGUGUAGUAUCUUUUUGUCUUAGAGAAAUUUUAACUUUGAUACGAUCAAAUUUGUCAAUCUUACUUUUAGGCCAUUUUUACAGUCUUAUUUAAGAAAGUAUUCCCUGUAUCAAGGUCAUAAGUAUUUACUGUAUUUCCUUCUCUAAAAUUUAUAGUUUCUGUAUACAAACAUAUUUAAGCCUUUAUACUAUAUACAAAAAAUAAAUUCCAUAUGUACAAAUCUUAGGAUCUAACUUUAAUUCCUCCCCAUUCCCCCCAAAUGGAUAGGUAAUUGUCCCAACACCAUUUAUGGAAUAAUAUAUCAUUUCUCCGCUGAUUUAGAACUGCCUCCUCUGCCUGACACUGAAUUCCAAUGCGGGUCUGUGUCAGAGCUCUUUCUGGUCCACUGAUCUAUUUGUCUACUCCUGAGCUUGCUAAUAUGCUUUGCUAACUGGCAGGACAAAUCCCACCCUCUCUGUUGUUUUUGUAAAAUUGCCUUGAUCAUCCUUGCAUAUUUGUCCCACCACAUGAAUUUUAAAAUAGCCUGUCGAGUCUCAGGAAAAAUUCUGCUGGGAUUUUAAUUGGGAUCACAUUGAGUUUUAGGUAAGUUUGAAGAAAAUUGGCACCUUUAUCGUAUUUGAGUCUUCUGCCAGUGCUCGUUGCUAUUAUCUCUCAGUUCCGGUCACUCUCAUGUCUUUCAGGGAAGUUUUAUGGUUUUCUCUAAAGUCUUGCAUAUUUCUUGAUAAAUUUAUUCCUAGGUUUAUUACAGGUUUUGUUGUCAACUGUGAAUAGGGUCUCCUCUCCCUUUAUUUGUUUGGCCCUUGUUUUUCCAUAUUUCAUUUCAACCUGUUUACCGAUCAGUGGGCUUGACUUGCAGACACACACGCAAAGUGAACAUUCUUCCUCCGGGGGACAAAUAUGCAAGCACCACCAAACACAGAGAGCCGGCGUAAUUGGCUGGAAACAAAUUAGAGUAUUUUCAGAUUAUACUUCAAUUAACGAAGUAAAGCAUGAAUACAUUUUCCUUUUGAAAGUCGGACAAUAUGAAUGUAACUAAAGUUUCCUUUGGCCACCCUCUGAAAUCCUAGCUUCCCUCCCUCACCCGCAGUUUUAUGUGUCUCCUUCCAUAGAAAUGUAAGUAUCAAUGGAGGUAUUUUGAAUGAAUCAUCCCACUCUAUAGAGAUUUUACUGUAAGCUGUGUUUUUUCACUCCAUCUUAUAUUUCUAAGAUAUAUUGAUACAAAUAGCUCUUGCCAGUUCCUUUUAGUAGCUGUGUUAUAUUCAUUCCCAUGAAUGUGCUACAUUUUUCCUUCCUAAGAUCCAUGGACAUUUAGUUGCAUCCUUUUCUUUCCUCCAUCAUAAGCAGCGCCACAGAAAAUAGCCUUACACGUGCCUCUUCUGUAAUGUUUCUCUAGGAUGGUGAUUGAGAAGUGGAAUUUGUGUUCUCAGGGUUUCCACAGUUUUAGUUUUAGAUGUUACCAAAGUGUCCUCCAUAAUUUCUGUACCAUUUAAACUUCUAGCCAGAGGAUAUGGGAGGACUCCUCACACCAUAAGUGAUUGUUUUAAAUGUUUGCCAAUUUGCUGGGUGAAAAAUUGAAUAAUUUUUUAAAGUUUAUACAUACCUGUUUGCUAGUGAGAUUUUCAUAUGUGUUUUAGGCAUUUGUAUUUUCUCUUUUCUGAAUGAUCUGUUUAUUUUUGCUCAUUUAAAAAAUUAGGUUGUUUGUCUUUAUCUUAUUGAUUUUUGAGUUUCCUAGUGUAAUCUGGAAAUUAAUCUUUUGUGUGUGUGUGUGUAUAUGUAUAUAUAUAUAUGGCACAUGUUUUCUUCCAGCUUGUCUGUUGCCUUCAAAUUUUGUAGGGGCUUUUGUUAGACAGAAGUUAUCAAUUUUGACAUAAUCAAAUUUAUCCAUCUUUUCCUUUAUUCCUUGUAUUUAUAUAUCAUGUUUAGGCCUUUCUUACUCCUAAGGUUUAAGUAUACUCUGUAUUCCUUUCUAGUAAUUUUGUUUUUAUUUGGGUCUUUUUUUUUGUCGGGGGGUAUGCGGGCCCCUCACUGUUGUGGCCUCUCCCCUUGCGGAGCACAGGCUCCGGACACGCAGGCUCAGCGGCCAUGGCUCACGGGCCCAGGCGCUCCGUGGCAUGUGGGAUCUUCCUGGGCCAGGGCGUGAACCCGUGUCCCCUGCAUCGGCAGGCGGACUCUCAACCACUGCGCCACCAGGGAAGCCCUAUUUGGGUCUUUAAUGCAGCUGGAAUGUAUGUUUAUGAUUGAAAUGAGAUAUGAUCUAAUCUUUCUGCAAACAUACAGCUGAUUAUUGCAACAUGACGGACUGUCUAGUUCCUUCUCUCUCCACUGAUCUGAAGUGAAACUCCCUCAUAUACUGAAUUGCCAUGUCUAGGUAGGUCUGAGGCGCUGGUUCUUUUUCACCAGUCUAUAUAUUUCUGUCUGCAUCAGACUGUUUUAUCCACUCUAGCUUGAGACCACCUUUUGAUAUCUGUUAAGUAAAAUGUUCCAUUUCAUUGUGCUUCCUGUUCAAUUAACUCAGCUAACUAUUACUGCACGUUAACUCCUCCACAUGAAUUUUAAAACCUGCUUGUCAGGUUCUGUGAAUUUAAAGAUUAAUUUGGGGAAAAUCAACAUCAGUACAAUCCUGAGUCUUUCAGUCCAUGAACACAGUAUAGCCCUGCACUCAUUCUGAUCAUCUAAAGGGCAGCCUUUAGUCCUAUUUUAUGGUUUUCUCCAUAACGAACCUACCAAUUUCCCGAUGGGUUUAUUCCUAUAGUUUUUAUUGUUGUUGUGAAUGAGUUCUCUCUGCACCCCCUGUUUUGUUUUUCUUUUGCUUGCUACAUUUUUUUUUUAAUCCACUAAUCACUGUACUUCAUUCAUAGACACACACAAAGUAAACGUUCUUCCUUCCUGGACACAGACGUGCAAGCACUGCCAAACACAGAGCUGCCAUAAUUGGCUGAAAAUGAAAGGGAACUUUUCAAAUGAAAGUUCAAUGACAUAAGCGCAACAUGAAUAUAUUCUCCUUUUUGAGAAAUAGAACAUUGCAGAUGAACCUAAAGUCCCUUUUGGGCACCACUGCCAUCCCAUUUCCUUCUCACCCAGAGGUUGCUACUGUAAUGGGCCCAAUGUACACUUUUCUAGACUUUCUAAAAAUUUGUAAAUACGUAGGUAGGUACCCACAGGAAGUUACAUGGUAUAGUUGUCUCAAGUAAUGAGAAUUUUAUCUUUUCCUUUUCACUUUUCAUUGAUACUCAAUUUUUGUAUUGACCUGGAUUUUAUUAUGGUUACAGAACAGAAUGUCAGUAUUAUCACCCAUCACGAUGUGAUGACCAGUGACCUUCUGUAGCCAAACCAUAGGCAGAUGUGAAAGUACAGAUGUAGAAGCUGGGAGAUAGCAGUGGAGGGAAGGGGUCAGAGGACUGACAGGGACGGUAAUGGGAGGCACAGGAGCGUCUGUGGACACACAGUGGAGUCAGGAGUGAAGGGGCAAGUAGGUUUCUUAAAAACCAACAGAGGUACUUGACAACUGUGAUGGGAGAAGCAGGGAUGGUGGGGAGUAGUUUCCAAGUGACCCAAAGCCUAAUCUGCCACAUGGGACAUCAGUGGGUCUUAUGAACUAUUUAGAAAUAGGGUAUCAUAGAUGCUGGUCAGAAAACUCUCAUGACCCGAUUUUGACUAGGAUCUUGUGAAUAUUGUCAGGCAGCUUCAAGGAAGCACUUUCCUCCCUGGUUAAAGGGAUGCAUCUGGAGAGCUUUAUUGGUCCUGCCCCUUCCUUUCUGCCUAGGUGCUGUUGGGUAAAAACGUGAUACUUGGAGCUCUGACAGCCAUCUUGUGACCACGAGGGGAAGGCCAGGAGAUGCAACUCUGUGCUGACUCAAUUCGGACACCUGGCACCACUGACUUCUGGACUUUCUUUGAAAUAAAUAAAAUGGUCUUACUGUUUAA